AAUCAUGGGCUCAGGAUGAACGCUGGCGGCGUGCCUAAUACAUGCAAGUCGAACGCUUUGUGGUUCAACUGAUUUGAAGAGCUUGCUCAGAUAUGACGAUGGACAUUGCAAAGAGUGGCGAACGGGUGAGUAACACGUGGGAAACCUACCUCUUAGCAGGGGAUAACAUUUGGAAACAGAUGCUAAUACCGUAUAACAAUGACAACCGCAUGGUUGUUAUUUAAAAGAUGGUUCUG
rnacentral:rRNA from 1 species